GGAGGACUUUGCCAUCUCAUGGCCUUCUCUGGACCAAUCAGGUAAUAAGACCAAUAGUGUGGAGGCAUCCUCAAUCUACUAGUUGUGGCCUACUCCCACUCUAUGAUGGUUUAGCAAAUGGACCUAUUGGUAGUGCACCACUACCAGUAACUCGUAACUGAAUUGUGUCAUGAAGCUGGCCACACCUCGAAAGACUGUCCGAAUCUAUUCAGUGAAUUGAUUGAAGACGGAAAGCUGUGUGAACAAUACCUUCCUGAAGCUGUGACAUGCGAUGAAAAGGAACUGUUUAAGGGCAUCAUCUGUGGAGAAGGAUUAAACAAUUUUGAUGAAGUCAUUCUCCUGGUUACAGGAAAAGAUGUACCUUAAUACAUAACAUUAUUCGAACAAGCCGGCCUGCGCCCACUACUUCUUCAGAACAUUAAGAAUUCUGGAUACGUAAAACUAUUUGAUUUGAUUGCUCGUGCUGUCACGGGCUCCAGCAAAACGGCAAUCCAAUUAAUUAACGCUAUGUAAUUUUAAAACCGUAAUGCCCUCGUACUGAUUUAAUUCCAAUAGGUCGGUACGAAUGGCAAGACUAUCGUUUUUGUCGACAGCAAGAAGACCGCGGAUUUUGUCGCUGCAUUUUUGUGCAAUAGCAACUUACAAUCUACCAGCAUCCAUGGUGAUCGUCUUCAGAGUUAGCGUGAGCAAGCUUUUCGUGACUUCAAAAAUGGUAUCUGGAAUAUUCUCGUGGCCACUGAUGUUGCCGCCCGUGGUUUACAUAUUGUCGACGUAAAUUAUGUCGUAAAUUAUGAUGUGCCAACUGAUAUUGAAGAGUAUGUUCAUCGUGUUGGUCGAACGGGCCGCGUGGGAAAUGUUGUUAAAUCAAUAAGGCCCUAACGCUGGAAAGUUUGUGGCUUUGUUAACUAAGUCCAACGCUGAUUUACUGCCAUUCAUGCAAGCGAUGGUCUCAGGUGUGAUUGGAAUGGGUUACGACUUUAACUCCCCUUUUACUCAUGGUGGUUUUGCUAGUCGAGAUAUGCGCUAAGUUAGUUAAGACCCAGGUAGUUUUUAUUAUUUGUAGAUGUAAUUUAAUCUAUUCGCAGUUCGGUGAUCAACCUGGAUUUGCUGCCUUGCCCACCGAAGUUGCAGAGAGUUGGCAUUAACUCAAUGUUGUUCACUUGAUUGGCUUGUUUUGGAGUAAUCCAGAACCAAAAUUCGUAUCCAAGAACAUUCUGGAACUUGCUAACUUCAAUGUCUGUUCGAAAAUUUGAUUACGUGUUUAA